rnacentral:rRNA from 1 species
UACGUAGGCAGCAAGCGUUGUUCGGAGUUACUGGGCGUAAAGGGCUCGUAGGCGGCCAACUAAGUCCGACGUGAAAUCCCAAAGCUUAACUUUGGAACUGCGUCGGAUACUGGAUGGCUUGAAUUCGGGAGAGGGAUGCAGAAUUCCAGGUGUAGCGGUGAAAUGCGUAGAUAUCUGGAGGAAUACCGGUGGCGAAGGCGGCAUCCUGGACCGACAUUGACGCUGAGGAGCGAAAGCUAGGGGAGCAAACGGG